rnacentral:lncRNA from 1 species
GAUCUUUGUGUUGCCAGGCAGGAAUGGGCUGCUUGGGGACCCAGUGAGCUCCGAGGGCCUUUCUGCUGCUUCCUGUACCCCUGUAUUUCGCUCAGCUCUCUGACUUGACUCAGCUCCAGAAAUAUUCUUUCAUUAAUAUUACAUGCUUAUGGAACUUUACCUAUUGAUUAAAGACAUCUACCCCUGGAGAAAGAGCCCAAUGAGAAGUAAUCUCUGAAGCCCAGAUUUCCUAAGGAUGAAGCUUCAGGAGAGGCCUUAUCAAUCCUGACAACAAACUUUUCUCGUCAAUUUAGUUUCAUUUAAUGGAAGUUUUAAAUGUGUAAAGUUCAGAAGGCUAUUAAAAUUGGUUCCAGCUAUCUAAGAUACACACACAACCACACACGCGCACACACGGUAGAGAUAAAUAUGUUCGAAAAUCCAGCUCAAUGUUACUAGAAAAUUUGAUCAGAAUCUGGUGAAAUAAAUAGUAAACUUACUAAAAAUGCCAAAUAUCCCAGAAGCUGCUUAACAUUUGAUCAAAAGCUCUGUCCAGUCAAUUCCUGCUUCUUUCAAAAAUACUCUGCUGAAAAGCCAAAGGAGAAAUGGGGCUGGUACCUUCAAUAUAGAGAAUUCCAAGUAAGAUUAGAUCCCAGAAGGCUUAGUGUGGCUUUCUAGGACUCUCACUAUUAGGCAGUAACCUACCAUUCACCUCUGUUUCCCAGAUUCACCUUGUUAUACCUUAUAACUUAAAAUAUAAAUUCCAACAAUGUACUGCACUCAAAAAAAUUAUUUCUCAAUUUGUUUGCUCAUACUAUUGAUUUUUUUCUAGAAUCUAAAUAAUUGUGAAUUAACUAUGAUAGCAGUAUGCACAAACAGUAAGUGAAAUCAGACCUAUUAAUUCUGAGAGGA